rnacentral:rRNA from 1 species
UACGUAGGGUGCAAGCGUUAAUCGGAAUUACUGGGCGUAAAGCGUGCGCAGGCGGUUUUGUAAGUCUGUCGUGAAAUCCCCGGGCUCAACCUGGGAAUUGCAUUCGAAACUGCGAGGCUAGGGUACGGAAGAGGGAAGCGGAAUUUCUGGUGUAGCGGUGAAAUGCGUAGAUAUCAGAAGGAACAUCAGUGGCGAAAGCGGCUUCCUGGUCCAGUACCGACGUUCAGGCACGAAAGCGUGGGGAGCAAACAGG